GUGUUAUUCAUUGAUAUAAGUUCGGUAAAUCGCGUUUAAUUUCCUUUUCGCUGGUCAUAAUUGGUGUUAAUAAACAUGUUUAAUCUUUUAUCAACUAUUUCUCGCGUGUGUAAUCUUCGUAAUUCUAAAUUUUGCGUGUUUAGUUUAUUCACGUGUCUGUGAGUCCGUUGCCGUCGGACGACGGCCGCCGAUAUUUUGUGAACGCCAAUAAUUAAUUGUCUUGUGAAAAAUACUUUUAUCAUCAGCUGAUGAUUAGGGACUAAUGUGCUACCUGUAUAUACCAACAUGUCUUCGAUUUGCCGUCUUACAUAACUGCACUUGCUGUGCCUUGAUCACUGAUGCCCACAAUUCUGCUUCCUAUGAUUACCCUUUGCCCCGGUAAGUUGAAAAAUAUUAUUACAUCAUUAUCACAUCGAUGUCUUUAGUCGCGUGCAACGAGAGUACCGUAAUACUCGUAAGUCAAAAUUGUCGCAUGCCGUCGGCUGCGUUAUCGAUUUUGCCUGAGAAUGUGGUUUUCACUGUUAUUCUCAGCUCUUAUUGUUCUUUUGCAUUCAAAAUACUGUAUUCGCGUUGACGCGUUUAAAAGCGAUAUCAAUAUCUUAACGCAAAUCGUGUAUUGUGCCGUUGGUUAGCACGUUGGUUAGGCCGUAUCAGGAGACCGCGUCGCAAAGAAAAUCUCAAUAUGCAAUAAAAUUCAUUAUGGUGUUUUGUUUUUAUAAAAAAGUUGUAUAUAAAUCAUCCUACCUUCUCUACUUUUUUUCGGGUUUGCACGCGAUCUAGGCGGCGUAGUAACUCCAGCGUGGCGUAUAGAGAUGCAGAAUUAAAUUUUCCGUCGGGUGGUAUUUAAUUGUUGCAGGAAUACGACCUGCAACCCGCGAAAAUUUGCAAAUAAGAGUAAUUUUUCAACCCUUUUUCCUGAAAUGUUUGUGUUAGUAUUGCUUUAAAAGAUGUCAUAUAGAAUUAUAAUUAUUAGUAAAUGUAUUAUUUAUUAUGUUUCCCUCCCCGCACAUAUCACUUCUAAAUAUCCAGGAGGAAACAGUUAAUAACACUUGUAUUUUUGAUUUUCUUUUUGUAUCACCCUGUAUAUAAAUUUUCUUUAAUGUCCAGUGAAAAAUGAGCAAUCUAUAUUGUUUUUGGGUGAUUUUUUUUUUGAAUCGAAAAUUUCCUUAUGAUAACACCUUGUAUAUAAAUUAUCCUUUAUGUUCAGUGAAAAAUGAGAUAUCUUUAUUGAUUUGGAGUGAUUUUCUUUUUUAAUUGAAGAUUUUCUUUUGAUAACACCGUGUAUAUAAUUUUCCAAUGAUAACAUACAAAUACAAGGCGCAAUUUGUUAUUUGUUAUCUUUUGUAAUUUCGCAGCCGUUAGCAUAGCGCGGCUAUGCAGGUCAUAAACAUGUUUUAAAAUGACGUCAUGUCUUCUGUAGGUAUUGAACUUGCAAGUUCCGAACUUGUAUUGUAUGUAAUUUGUUAAUAAAGAAAUGUUAAAGGCAA